rnacentral:misc_RNA from 1 species
GAUCAUUACCGAGUUAUUCAACUCAUCAACCCUGUGAACUUACCUAAACGUUGCUUCGGCGGGAAUAGACGGCCCUGUAAAACGGGCCGCCCCCGCCAGAGGACUCUUAACUCUGUUUCUUAUAAUGUUUCUUCUGAGUAAAACAAGCAAAUAAAUUAAAACUUUCAACAACGGAUCUCUUGGCUCUGGCAUCGAUGAAGAACGCAGCGAAAUGCGAUAAGUAAUGUGAAUUGCAGAAUUCAGUGAAUCAUCGAAUCUUUGAACGCACAUUGCGCCCGCCAGUAUUCUGGCGGGCAUGCCUGUUCGAGCGUCAUUACAACCCUCAGGCCCCCGGGCCUGGCGUUGGGGAUCGGCGGAGCGCCCCUCGUGGGCGCACGCCGUCCCCCAAAUACAGUGGCGGUCCCGCCGCAGCUUCCAUCGCGUAGUAGCUAACACCUCGCGACUGGAGAGCGGCGCGGCCACGCCGUAAAACACCCCAACUCUUCUGAAGUUGACCUCGAAUCAGGUAGGAAUACCCGCUGAACUUAAGCAUAUCA